CAGCCGCCGCGGGAAUACGGAGGGAGCUAGCGUUGUUCGGAAUUACUGGGCGUAAAGCGCACGUAGGCGGUUAUUCAAGUCAGAGGUGAAAGCCCGGGGCUCAACCCCGGAACUGCCUUUGAAACUAGAUGACUGGAAUCUUGGAGAGGUCAGUGGAAUUCCGAGUGUAGAGGUGAAAUUCGUAGAUAUUCGGAAGAACACCAGUGGCGAAGGCGACUGACUGGACAAGUAUUGACGCUGAGGUGCGAAAGCGUGGGGAGCAAACAGGAUUAGAGACCCCUGUAGUCCCUGUCUCUUAUAC
rnacentral:rRNA from 1 species